rnacentral:misc_RNA from 1 species
GCAAACUUGGUCAUUUAGAGGAAGUAAAAGUCGUAACAAGGUUUCCGUAGGUAAGUUGAAAAUCUUUCCAUCCUUAACAAACCUCCCCAACCCCCCUUUAAUGCCUGCUUUUGAAUGAUAUGCUGACUUUUUCUCAAAGGUGAACCUGCGGAAGGAUCAUUAUCGAGUGUGAACCCCCCCGUAAAAAAGGGGGGUUACCUCCCGUCCUUUGCUUAGGCAUACCCUAUUCCAUUGGAAAGGGGUUUGCUUUUCAAACCUUUCUGCUUCGGCGGGGUUACCUGCCGAAACAACCUCAAAAUUCUAAGUCAAAAACGGUUCAGUCCGAGAAAAACUUUGAAAAAGCGAAAACUUUCAACAACGGAUCUCUUGGUUCUGGCAUCGAUGAAGAACGCAGC